GUGAAGCUGUCGGGGCAGGAGAGGGAGGGAGUCACAGAAAUUGCUCUGGGAGUAGCUGACCAACCCUGCUUUUGCUCUGCCAGGUCCUGCUGGCCCUGA
rnacentral:pre_miRNA from 1 species